rnacentral:lncRNA from 1 species
AGCACUGACCAACGAUCACCGUGCUCAUCUCCGGAGGCAUCGAAGCAGCCCCGGAUCGCCGGAAUAGAGAUCCGAACAGGAAACAGUGCACAAAGUAGCUUAAUAAAGCUUACCGGGCCAAGGGGAGCUAAAGCAUGGCCGGCGGCAGCCCGGCGGUGGGUGCACCGGCGGCAAGAGGGUUCGGAAGAUGGAGGGAGGCCGAGGCGUGCAUCGGUCGGCGACGGAAGGCGGCGGCUGUAGUGUUCCAGAGGUUUUGAUAGGAUUGGCUACAGUAUUAGUGACUGCUCGACACCUUUUG